CACAGUGUUGAAUAGAACUUUGACUAGUCACUAAAGAAAAAUAGACAACAAGUCUAUUUUUCUUUAGUGACUAGUCAAACUUCUAUUCAACACUGUGCAC
rnacentral:pre_miRNA from 1 species